AAGAGUAAUAAGGUUAUUAGGUAUUCUAUCCUGGAUAUUCUAAUGCCUUUUUCCUUUUCACCCUUCAUAUACCUCUUCGUGUAGAAAGUCUUUGAAUGUUUUUACAAUCAUCGAGUCGUGACUUCUAGGAGACGCGAUUCUUUGAGACAAAAGUUAUCA
rnacentral:misc_RNA from 1 species